GCUUUUAUAAAUUCGUGAAAUUAAGAUUUAAGGUUCCAAAACGAAUUGCUAGGGUCACGCUAAGAGAGACUUUUCGGUGAAAACGCAUACCUAAAUUAUUUUUUAUCUGAUAGUCUAUUGUAUAAGCUUUCAAAAUCCGUUUUAAUUUUUAAUCUAUCUUUAGCGGUUCUAGAGAUAUACAAAUUUUUUCCGCGUUUUCCACUUCCGUGUUUUAGGCCCUGAGGGCUCCCCUUUUUAUACCUGUUACCUGUUACCUGCUACCUAGUCUUUAUCUUCCUCCUCUAGCAGGAGCUUCGCUUCUAAAGCGUACUUCUUAUUUGCACCCUAACCCUUACACACGGGGCACUCUGUCUCAUAAAAUCAGUUAUGCAAUAUUGUACAUGCUCGUAUACGUAGUUAUUAAUAACAGUAACAUAUAUAGAGCACCUUAAUAACGUUGUAUAUUUAGGUUAAUUAAAGGAUUUCAGAUCAUGAGCAAAGCAAUGCAAAAUAACAUUUAGGUCCAUAUCUCUUAACAGUUUCAGCAUUUCACUUUUAAAACAUUUGUGUCAAAUAGAAAAGGGCAUAACCCCAAUUCAUGCAUAAGUAAUUUGACAUAUCAAAUUUUCUUUUUUGUUUUAUCAAAUUAAUAAAUUGUUAUUUCAAAUAAUUAUAAUCUGUUAUAUCAAAUUGAUAAUC
rnacentral:lncRNA from 1 species